rnacentral:rRNA from 1 species
UACGGGGGGGGGCAAGCGUUGUUCGGAAUUACUGGGCGUAAAGCGUGCGCAGGCGGUUAUGUAAGACAGAUGUGAAAUGCCCGGGCUUAACCUGGGAACUGCAUUUGUGACUGCAUGGCUAGAGUUUGGCAGAGGGGGGUAGAAUUCCACGUGUAGCAGUGAAAUGCGUAGAUAUGUGGAGGAACACCGAUGGCGCAAGGCAGCCCCCUGGGUCAAGACUGACGCUCAUGCACGAAAGGCGUGGGGA